rnacentral:siRNA from 1 species
GAAAAGACGAUGAAGGUUGUUAUG